AUGGCGACAGUUCACCCCUUGAUUGGGGACGCUAACCUGCGAGAGGAAGGAGCAUGGGGCGUUGAGUGCAGUAGGGGUGCAAGGUGCGGUCGCCUGCACCCGGUGGCACUGCUCCUCUUGACCCGGACGGCAACCUAUGAGAGGGAGAAGGAGCAAUGGCGGGGUCAGGUUGGUUGGGUUGGCGUCCUGUUGGGUCUAGCGGCUAGGGCGGCGUCCAGUGGAGGGGGCGUCAAUCCAAUCUUGGAAGGUCGACGAGGUUAUUUGGGUUGGCAUGGUGGAGGUGGCGACCGGGCUGCCAUCAAUGUCGGCGCACGGCGGUGGGGCUAG
rnacentral:rRNA from 1 species